CCAGGACUACACUGAUGGUUAGCAGUGCCCUCAUCAAGGAAUUUCGAGUAGGAGGGGGAGUGUUGGUCGAAAGAAGAAUUUUCCUCAUCCCAUCAUUACCUAUAGGAGUUUGACUGAGGCCAACUUGUAGACCGUGAUUCAGAGUGGCAGCUUUCCUACCCGGGGAUUUGGUCUCAACCUCCUUGUAUAACUUGUACCGCUGGGAUACAAACAGACAUUUUGUGCAGAGGAGGCCCAUUCUACUUGCGAGACCACACCUUUCCUCAGAUGCCAAGUCCCACGUGAGGGGUCCUUCACAGCCGGAUGUCUGUAGCUGGUGCAGUGAGACAACUUCAUUCCACAUCUCGGCUGUUUUCCCCAAGUGUAGAAGUCUGUGGGAAUUUUUGUUAGCCAGCCUAGCACUGUGGUGGGGUUUCAUCUCUCAGCUUCCUUGGGCGAACUCAGAGGAGGGUGGCACUUUCCCCACACAAGCAUUUCCUCUUUUUCUGCAGUUGACAGAGUGUCUGAAACCAUCAUA